rnacentral:lncRNA from 1 species
UCGCCUAGGAAGACACCAUUGGCAGCCUCUGCCCUCUCUCAGGGCCUCACAUGCAUUCACUCAAUCAUUCAGCGGAAGCUGGGUAACCACUUGUGCUGAGGCUCUCUGCAGUUGUGCUCUCUGCAGUUGUGCUCUCUGCCCUCAUGGGGGUUGCAUUAUGGGUGGGGGAGGUCAUAGAAGGAAUGAACAGGUCCAAUCACGGCAGGUGGUAAAUGAGCCAUGGAGAAAACAAAGAUGGAGAGAAGGAGGUGUGCAGGGCGGCUCCAGGAGGCACCAGUAGCAGAGGUGAGGUGGGCAGGGCCAGCACUGGAGGUGACGUGGACAGGAGGAACAGCCCUUUCGGAGGCCCUGAGGCCCCUUCUAGUAGCUGUUGCCAAGUAACAAGCUGCCCUACAAUUUGGGUUUCAAACAAACCUUUAACAUUUGCUCACAGUUUCAUGGUGAAGACUUGAGGAGGGGGCUCAGUUGGAUGCCUCUCUCUGGCAGUCCCCUGCCGCUGUGUCAGUCUGGCCAUCCAGAUAGCCCCUCAGCACCUCUGCUCAUCACACCCACCCUGUAUCCCAGGUCCUGAGGUUGCUCCCGAGGUGUCUCAGGCUGCCUUCUGUUUGUUCCAGGAACCACUAAAUCUGCCCCAGACUUGGGGCAGGGUGGCCACACCACAGCCCCACUCAGAGAAGCAGCCAAGCAAGGAUUUGCCCACAUGUCUCAAACCUCAGUGAGUGUGGAGAUGCACAUGCUUCUUGAGUGGGGAGCAAGAUGGCUCCAAGGUGGACUCUGGGAGAGGUCAGAGAGGCAGACGGGGCGUCUGCAUCCCAGCUGGCCUUAAGUCAUGAUGUGGGCUAUCCUGCUGUGCUGGACUCCAGCAGCUGUGCUGCUGCUAGACCUCAGGUCAACUGCAGGCAGCUGCCUGGGCCGUGACCCCAUGACCUCUGCACGGCCCCUUCCGGAGUCCCGGAGCCAAUGAGGGGCUGGAGGAGGUGGCCUUGGAGUCAGAGCAGCCCGCCCAUCGGGACCUGGAGCCCCGUCUCCGCAGAGUGGCCUUGGCUGGGUCUUGGGCAGACAAGUGCAGCCCGUGUAGUCACUCCUGGAGAACUAUGGGCACUGCCCUGGGGUGCCCUACGCCCUGGUCAGGACCCCUGGGCUCAGCCCCGCAGAGGAGCAGGGACAUGGAACAGUACCGCUGCUGGACUAAAGCCGCUGCAGCCAUCAUGCACAUGAUCAGGAACAACCUGGACCCUGCCUGCUGUGGCCCAGGUAAGGAUGAGACACUGGGGCUGGAAGCAGCAGUGGGAAUGUAAUCUGAGAAACGCUCUCAAGCUGUUUAUGUCGAGAUAGGGAUAGAUUCUAGGGAUGUUGCAAAAAUGGGCAGAGAGGGCCUCCUCCCUCCUCACCAGGAAACCCCAGUGGCUGCAUCUUCAGUAACUAUGGCACAGCAUCAGCAGCAGACACCAACACUGGUGCAACAGAUGUGCAAUUUCACAUCUUCUAACAGCCACCUGAAAACUGAAAGAAACAGAUUCAGUGCUGUAGUUUACCCCAACAUACCCAAACAUUAUCAUUUAACAUGUAAUCAAUGUAAAAUUGAGAUAUUUUAGUGUUUUUUUCUUACCAAGUCUCUGGAAUCAGGGGUGUAUUUUAUGCUCAGAGCAUGUCAUAGGCCGUGGCUCAAGUGCUCAAUGGCCACAGGUGAAUGACGCAGGUCUGGUCGCAUGCAUCUGUCCCUAGCACUCUUGACAGUCUGUGCAUCAGAUACCCAUAGUGGAGAAAGGAUAGCCUUGGCCCUCCCAGUAUUAUACUUGAGGGCGAAAGAGUCCUAGAAUGUGGCCACUCCCCCAGUCAGGGAGCUUCCUGAGCCAGGCCUCUGAACCUGGCCACCAACAGACCCCUGACACUGACCCCAGCUAACCCGGAUCACUGUUCGUGGGCCCUGCCCCUCCUGGCUUUUCCCCCACCCCACCCUCCUCCUUCAAGGAUCAUCCUGAAGUCCACUUGGCACCUUGAGCCCAGCAUGGGGUAAGGCCCUGAUCCCAGAUGACACCCUGUCUUCUCUAGUUUCCCCAAGAGCACGUGACCUGUGGGGGAAACAGGCAGGUGUUCUGCAACUGGGCUCAGGUACACUAGACUAUGUGGCCUGGCCCCACCCCCACCCUGGGCCUCUGGCCCCGAAGGACCUUGCAGACCAGGCUCGGGACUCAGUCUCUGCCUCCCUGGUGCCUGA